ACACUGGACCCAAAGUCCAGAGGAGGAAACAGUACCUCACAGAUAUGGACCAGUCUAUACAACACUGUCAUUACUUCUCAGGAUUCCGUGGGUAAACAAAGUGCGUUAUCGCUGCAAAAAGAUAAUGAAGGAUUGAGAAAGUCAAGGCUUGGCAGCAGCACUGAGCUCUUGGGCCUUGAGCAGUACUUAGGGGAUGGAGGUGUAGACUCAUCAGAGUCCAGAGGGGCCUACCUUUCCCUGGUUUACCUGCGC